rnacentral:rRNA from 1 species
UCCCAGACUCCUACGGGAGGCAGCAGUGGGGAAUAUUGCACAAUGGGGGAAACCCUGAUGCAGCGACGCCGCGUGAGUGAAGAAGUAAUUCGUUAUGUAAAGCUCUAUCAGCAGGGAAGAAAAUGACGGUACCUGAGUAAGAAGCCCCGGCUAACUACGUGCCAGCAGCCGCGGUAAUACGUAGGGGGCAAGCGUUAUCCGGAUUUACUGGGUGUAAAGGGAGCGUAGACGGCGGUGCAAGCCAGAUGUGAAAGCCCGGGGCUCAACCCCGGGACUGCAUUUGGAACUGUGCUGCUAGAGUGUCGGAGAGGCAGGCGGAAUUCCUAGUGUAGCGGUGAAAUGCGUAAAUAUUAGGAGGAACACCAGUGGCGAAGGCGGCCUGCUGGGCUUUAACUGACGCUGAGGCUCGAAAGCGUGGGUAGCAAACAGGAUUAGAUACCCGAGUAGC